GGGAACAUACCCUUUUCUACGGAAUAGCUCUGGGAAACUGGAAUUAAUACCGUAUACGCCCUACGGGGGAAAGAUUUAUCGGGGAAGGAUUGGCCCGCGUUGGAUUAGCUAGUUGGUGGGGUAAAGGCCUACCAAGGCGACAAUCCAUAGCUGGUCUGAGAGGAUGAUCAGCCACAUUGGGACUGAGACACGGCCCAAACUCCUACGGGAGGCAGCAGUGGGGAAUAUUGGACAAUGGGCGCAAGCCUGAUCCAGCCAUGCCGCGUGAGUGAUGAAGGCCUUAGGGUUGUAAAGCUCUUUCACCGAUGAAGAUAAUGACGGUAGUCGGAGAAGAAGCCCCGGCUAACUUCGUGCCAGCAGCCGCGGUAAUACGAAGGGGGCUAGCGUUGUUCGGAAUUACUGGGCGUAAAGCGCACGUAGGCGGAUAUUUAAGUCAGGGGUGAAAUCCCAGAGCUCAACUCUGGAACUGCCUUUGAUACUGGGUAUCUUGAGUAUGGAAGAGGUAAGUGGAAUUGCGAGU
rnacentral:rRNA from 1 species